rnacentral:lncRNA from 1 species
UGCUGGACCUUGUUGCUAAUGUAUAACUAAAGUAAACUUGAAGGGGCUGAUUAUUAGUGAGCACGAACAUGAAUUGAUCUGUCCUAACAACUCAACUGAUAUGUGUUAUAUAUUUCCAAGUCAACUGGUAUAAGAUUCUAAUUGACAAUUCUCUCACGGAUUAUAUAAAAAAAGUCUUGAUUUGAUUGGAGAACAAAAUGGACUAGGCUGGAUCAAGCAAAACCAGACCUACUAUAGGCACUACUUGGAUGAGAGCCAAGUAGGAAUAGUGAAUCAAGAAAGAUGGCCACUUCCCCAUUAUUUAUCUGAUAUUCC